rnacentral:rRNA from 1 species
CGGAGGGUGCAAGCGUUAUCCGGAUUCACUGGGUUUAAAGGGUGCGUAGGUGGGCAAGUAAGUCAGUGGUGAAAUCUCCGGGCUUAACCCGGAAACUGCCAUUGAUACUAUUUGUCUUGAAUACUGUGGAGGUCAGCGGAAUAUGUCAUGUAGCGGUGAAAUGCUUAGAUAUGACAUAGAACACCAAUUGCGAAGGCAGCUGGCUACACAAAUAUUGACACUGAGGCACGAAAGCGUGGGGGAUCAAACAGGAUUAGAUACCCUGGUAGUCCACGCCCUAAACUAUGGAUACUCGACAUUUGCGAUAAACUGCAAGUGUCUGAGCGAAAAGCAUUAAAGUAUCCCACCUGGGAAGUACGAUCGCAAGAUUG